GUCGAGAUAGCUCAGUUGGUAGAGAAGAGGACUGAAAAUCCUCAUGCCACUAGUUCAAAUCUAGUUCUUGGCA
rnacentral:tRNA from 1 species